rnacentral:rRNA from 1 species
GUGGAGCAUGUGGCUUAAUUUGACUCAACGCGGGGAAUCUUACUAGGUCAGGACCGAUUCAUGAAUGUCACCGUAAUGUGUCGCCGGUACAUGAUUGUUGGAUGAGUGGUGCAUGGCCGUUCUUAGUUCGUGGUGUGAUUCGUUGCAUUAAUUUGUUUCGAUUCUACGCCUCGCGGGCAAAAGAACGUAAAAACGAACGAGACCGUGGCCUGUAUAAAACUACAGGGACAGGGGAACAAUACUACUACACACCAGGAAGGGCACGGCAAUAACAGGUCUGUGAUGCCCUCAGAUGUUCUAGGCCGCACACGUGCUACAAUUGCUUCCGUAGUUGUAGUGCGUGUGUGUUGUGAGAUCCCCCGCGUAGAGUCAAGUUGAGUCGCUAGUUGAGAUUACCGGUUGUAACUAUCUGGUACCACAACUAGGAAUGCCUCGUACGUUGGGAUCAACGAGUUCCAUUGGAAUCCGUCCCUGCCCUUUGUACACACCGCCCGUCGCUCUUACCGAUGGCGGUGGUUUCGAAUGUCACCGAGUGGGUUGUUGGUUUAAUAUACUCGCGACUCGCAACGUAACGUAAGAAACCGCCGCUAAAGGAAAGAGAAGUCGUAACAAGGCAUCG